rnacentral:rRNA from 1 species
GCUACCACAUCUAAGGAAGGCAGCAGGCACGCAAAUUACCCACUCCCAGUUCGGGGAGGUAGUGACGAAAAAUACUGAUGCGGGACUCGUUCCGAGGCCUCGCCAUCAGAUUGAGCUCAGUCUAAACCAUUGGACAAGUUUCAACUGGAGGGCAAGUCUGGUGCCAGCAGCCGCGGUAAUUCCAGCUCCAGUAGCGUAUGCUAAAGUUGCUGCGGUUAAAAAGCUCAUAGUUGGAUCUCACGGCCGGAACGGCGGCCCACUAAAGGUUUCGGCCAGCGCCGUGGUUGGUCAGUGUACUCGUAUGCUUGGCCUCCGCGGUUUGCUUGCGUCUGCCCGGUGGUCAACUGUCCGUCUCCGGCUCGAGACUCCCGCUGGUUCGCGAGGGAUGCCUUGUCUUGUACGGGUGUCCCGAGUGACCGGCACGUUCACUUUGAAUAAAUUAGAGUGCUCAAAGCAGGCAAAGUCUUACGCCUGAAUGAUGGUGCAUGGAAUGAUGGAACAGGACCUCGGUUCUGCUCUUUGGUCGAUUUUUUGGAAUCGAGGUAAUGAUUAAAAGAAACAGACGGGGGCAUUCGUAUUGCGACGCUAGAGGUGAAAUUCUUGGACCGUCGCAAGACGAACUACUGCGAAAGCAUUUGCCAAGAAUGUUUUCCUUAAUCAAGAACGAAAGUUAGAGGAUCGAAGGCGAUCAGAUACCGCCCUAGUUCUAACCAUAAACGAUGCUACCUGGCGAUCCGUCGGCGUCAUACCCACGACUCGACGGGGAGCCUCCGGGAAACCAAAGGCUUUGGGUUCCGGGGGAAGUAUGGUUGCAAAGCUGAAACUUAAAGGAAUUGACGGAAGGGCACCACCAGGAGUGGAGCCUGCGGCUUAAUUUGACUCAACACGGGGAAACUUACCAGGUCCAGACACCGAAAGGAUUGACAGAUUGAGAGCUCUUUCUCGAUACGGUGGUUGGUGGUG